AUGGGCGCAGCCUGAUGGAGCACACCGCGUGAGUGAAGAAGGGUUUCGGCUCGUAAAGCUCUGUUGUUAAAGAAGAACACGUAUGAGAGUAACUGUUCAUACGUUGACGGUAUUUAACCAGAAAGUCACGGCUAACUACGUGCCAGCAGCCGCGGUAAUACGUAGGUGGCAAGCGUUAUCCGGAUUUAUUGGGCGUAAAGAGAGUGCAGGCGGUUUUCUAAGUCUGAUGUGAAAGCCUUCGGCUUAACCGGAGAAGUGCAUCGGAAACUGGAUAACUUGAGUGCAGAAGAGGGUAGUGGAACUCCAUGUGUAGCGGUGGAAUGCGUAGAUAUAUGGAAGAACACCAGUGGCGAAGGCGGCUACCUGGUCUGCAACUGACGCUGAGACUCGAAAGCAUGGGUAGCGAACAGGAUUAGAUACCCUGGUAGUCCAUGCCGUAAACGAUGAGUGCUAGGUGUUGGAGGGUUUCCGCCCUUCAGUGCCGGAGCUAACGCAUUAAGCACUCCGCCUGGGGAGUACGACCGCAAGGUUGAAAUCA
rnacentral:rRNA from 2 species